GACGAACGCUGGCGGCGUGCCUAAUACAUGCAAGUAGAACGCAGUUGCGAACGGGUGAGUAACGAGUCGGCAACUGCCUCAGAGCGGGGGUAAACUAUUGGAAACGAUAGCUAAUACCCUAUACGUCGAGAUGGACCUGCGUUGUGUUAGCUAGUUGGUGAGGUAAAGGGUCACCAAGGCGACGAUACAUAGCCGGCCUGAGAGGGUAGUCUGCCCCACUGGGACUUAGGACCGGCCCAGACCCCUGCGGUGAGCAGGAGUAGGGAAUCUUCGGGAAUGGGCGGAAGUCUGACCGAGCAACGCCGGGUGGGUGAAGAAGGUUUUCGGAUCGUAAAGCUCUGUUGUUUGAGGAGCGGUACCUAACCAGAAAGGGACGGCUAACUACGUGCCAGCCGCCGCGGUAAUAC
rnacentral:rRNA from 1 species